GGGUAGGGUAGAGAAGAGAGGGUAGAGAAGAGAGGAUAGAGUAGAGGGGAUAGAUUUCAGUGACGCAGAAUAAAAACAUCAAAGGCUGCAGAGGAGAUGAUUCUCCAUUUUUCUCUCUUUCUCACUCUCUUGCCUUCUUUUCUCAUAAUUACACAUUUAAUUAUUUUUCUGCAUCUUUUCUUCCUCCUCCCUCUCCCUCGUCUCCUGCCUCCCUCUCCCUCGUCUCCUGCCUCCCUGCUCUCUCCUCCCUCACCUCGUGCUGCCUCCCUGUUCUCUUGCCUGCUAGGGUGAAUUUCCAUUGAACUAUUUUGUGUGGAUAAAAACAGCUGGACAUAAUGACGUCACACCUAAAACAACUAGUGUUGAAUACAAAUGCAGUGGUUAAAGUGUUUCCAUUACCCAUUUAGGCAAAUUGUGCAUUAAUACAUUGGCCACAGCCUGUAUGCCCUUCCACCUUCACUAUAUAUACAAAAGUAUGUGGACACCCCUUCAAAAUAGUGGAUUCAGCUAUGUCAGCCACAUCUGUUGCUGACAGGUGUAUAAAGUUGAGUACACAGCCAUGCAAUCUCCAUAGACAAACAGUGGCAGUAUAAUGGCCUUACUGUAGAGCUCAGUGACUUCCAACGUGGCACAGUCAUAGGAUGCCACCUUUCCAACAAGUCCGUUUGUCAAAUUUCCGGGGCUGACACUCUUAUGAUGAGUGCCAUGGGAUCUUUUAAUGACCUCAGAGAGCCAGGACACCCGUUUAACGUCCCAUCCGAAAGACGGAUGGGGGUAUUAUACAUUCUGUACCUUUAUACAUUUUGUAUAAUACCACCAGGAAGAAUCUGAAUCCUCGGUUGCAACACUCCCUACCGAAUUCCGAACUGUCUCUGGAAGCAAUGUCAGCACAAUAACUCUUCAUCUGCAAAGGGUUGCUACUUUGAAGAAUAUCAAAUAUAAAAUAUCAUUAAAUUUCUUUUAACACUUUUUUGGUUACUACAUGAUUUCAUAUGUGUUAUUUCAUAGUUUAGACCUCUUCACUAUUAUUCUACAACAUAGAAAAUAGUAAAAAUGAAGAAAAACCCUUGAAUGAAUAGGUGUGUCCAAGCUUUUGACUGGUACUGUACAUUCAGUCACAGUGGGUCCGACGUCGUUGAUGCGCUCAUUGAUGAAGCCAGUGACGGAGGUGUUAUACUCCUCAAUGGCAUUGGAUGAAUCCCAGAACAUAUUCCAGUCUGUGCAAACAGUCCUGUAGCGUAGCAUCCACGUCAUCUGACCACUUCCAUAUUGAGUGAGUCACUGGUAAUUCCUGUUUUAGUUUUAGCUUGUAAGCAGGAAUCAGGAGGAUAGAAUUAUGGUCAGAUUAGCCAAAUGGAGGGCGAGGGAGAGCUUUGUAUGCGUCUCUGUGUGUGGAGUAAAGGAAGUCUAUUUUUUCCCUCUGUUUGCACAUGUGACAUGCUGGUAGAAAUGAGUUAAAACGGAUUUAAGUUUCCCUACAUAAAUGUCCCCAGGCCACUAGGAGCGCCACUUCUGGAUGAGCAUUUUCUUGUUUGCUUAUGGCCUUAUACAGCUCGUUGAGUGCGGUCUUAGUGCCAACAUCGGUCUGUGGUGGAAAAUAGACGGCUACGAAUAAUAUAGAUGAGAACUCUCUUGGUAGAUAGUGUGGUCUACAGCUUAUCAUAAGGUAUUCUACCUCAGGUGAGCAAUACCUCGAGACUUCUUUAAUAUUAGACAUCGCGCACCAGCUGUUAUUGACAAAUAGACACACACCCCUGCCCCUCGUCUUACCAGACGUAGCUGCCCUGUCCUGCCUAUGUACGGAAAACCCAGCCAGCUCUAUAUUGUCGGUGUCGUCAUUCAGCCACGACUCAGUGAAACAUAAGAUAUUACAGGUUUUAAUGUCCCGUUGGUAGGAUAUUCUUAAUCGUAUAUCAUCCAAAUUCUCACAAGGCGCCCCAACCUAAUCUUUUCUUCACACGAAUGAUGGGGAUUUGUCUUGAGAAUGCAGUAUAUCCUUUGCGUCGGACUCAUUAAAGAAAAGUUCUUUGUCUAGUUCAAGGUGAGUAAUCGCUGUUCUGAUGUCCAGAUGCUCCUCUCGGUCAUAAGAGACUGUAGCAGCUCCAUUAUUUACAAACAAUGCAAAAAAACUAACAAAAUAGCACAGUUUAUUAGGAGCCUGUAAAAAGGCAGCCAUCCCCUCCAGCGGCAUUCUUAACAUACUAAAGUUCGGUCGCUAAAUGUGUUGUUGGAGCAGGUGUCGACACUGAUAGGAUCGAAAGAAAGGCAGCGCUGCGAUCAGCUUUCUCCAUUUAAAUCUUUCCUUUACAUUAUAGUUAUUCCACAAUACUGACGACGGAUCAGCUCCUGGAGAGAUAUUACCACCUACGGUUGCAAAUAUUGAGGCGGCUUAUUCUAAUGCUUACCCAAUAAAAAUGCACAAAAUCAUCAAUUUGGCACAUUAUUGCGCACAUGUAAGGCUACACAUCAUGGCAUACAUGGAGAUAAAUUAUAGACAGUAGCCUACAAGCAGCAAAAUAGAACUCAAUGUGAUUGUAGCCUUUUUUUAUGAAUUCAUCUCAGUUUUCAUUUGAAGCAUAUUUGUAUACGUCGCUUGCAAAGACAAAUUCAUAUUUGUAGACAACUUUUGUUCGGAAGUUAUCAGCCUCACAGAGAAAACCGCUCAACUAUUUAACAAUGCUCCUACGAAUGUUCUAACGAUGAACUUAGCCUUAAGAUGCUUUUGGUAAACCAGGCCCUGGACUGUGAUUUAGGUCUGUGAUUUAGGUCUGGAAUUUAGGUCUGUGAUUUAGGUGUGUGAUUUAGGUGUGUGAUUUAGGUCUGUGAUUUAGGUCUGUGAUUUAGGUCUGUGAUUUAGGUCUGUGAUUUAGGUCUGUGAUUUAGGUCUGUGAUUUAGGUGUGUGAUUUAGGUCUGUGAUUUAGGUCUGUGAUUUAGGUGUGUGAUUUAGGUGUGUGAUUUAGGUCUGUGAUUUAGGUCUGUGAUUUAGGUGUGUGAUUUAGGUCUGUGAUUUAGGUCUGUGAUUUAGGUGUGUGAUUUAGGUGUGUGAUUUAGGUCUGUGAUUUAGGUCUGUGAUUUAGGU
ensembl:lncRNA